AAGUCGUAACAAGGUCUCCGUUGGUGAACCAGCGGAGGGAUCAUUACUGAGUACUACACUCUCUACCCUUUGUGAACUAUUAUACCUGUUGCUUCGGCGGCCGCCCGCAAGGGUGCCCGCCGGUCUCAUCAGAAUCUCUGUUUUCGAACCCGACGAUACUUCUGAGUGUUCUUAGCGAACUGUCAAAACUUUUAACAACGGAUCUCUUGGCUCCAGCAUCGAUGAAGAACGCAGCGAAACGCGAUAUGUAAUGCGAAUUGCAGAAUUCAGUGAAUCAUCGAAUCUUUGAACGCACAUGGCGCCUUCCAGUAUCCUGGGAGGCAUGCCUGUCCGAGCGUCGUUUCAACCCUCGAGCCCCUGUGGCCCGGCGUUGGGGAUCUGCCACGGCAGGCCCCUAAAACCAGUGGCGGACCCUGAAGGGCCCUCUCCUUUGCGCAGUAGCAUUCGCCUCGCAUCGGGAGUCCUCGGCGUCCUGCCUCUAAACCCCCCACAAGCCCGCUUCGGCGGCACCAAGGUUGACCUCGGAUCAGGUAGGAAUACCCGCUGAACUUAA
rnacentral:rRNA from 1 species